AUACGUAGGGAGCGAGCGUUGUCCGGAAUUACUGGGUGUAAAGGGAGCGUAGGCGGGAAGGCAAGUUGGAUGUGAAAACUGCGGGCUCAACCGACAGACUGCAUUCAAAACUGUUUUUCUUGCGUGAAGUAGAGGCAAGCGGAAUUCCUAGUGUAGCGGUGAAAUGCGUAGAUAUUAGGAGGAACACCAGUGGCGAAGGCGGCUUGCUGGGCUUUUACUGACGCUGAGGCUCGAAAGUGUGGGGAGCAAACAGGAUUAGAUACCCUGGUAGUCCACACCGUAAACGAUGAUUACUAGGUGUGGGGGCGUCAAGCUUCCGUGCCGGAGUUAACACAAUAAGUAAUCCACCUGGGGAGUACGGCCGCAAGGUUGAAACUCAAAUGAAUUGACGGGG
rnacentral:rRNA from 1 species